GUAACCACUCCCUGGUACUGCCUGUGUUCACUCAAGGUCCCGGGGCUCUACAAUCAGCAAGUACCAAAGCCAGCCAGGCUGAUGUUUUUCCCUUCGGGGCAAUGAGGUCCCGCAGGACAUGGAAGGAGUUUUGCCCCAUAACCACCACAGCUGGUAACCUGAAGUCAGAAAGUCUCAGAGGCUCACCAAGGCCCUUGAUGUAGUACCUGGGAAUACCUGGGUCUCCUCACAUAGCAGGACAGCAUUGAAUUCAGAGCCUCACAAUUGCUGUGUUCUACUUCGCCUAGCAACCAGAGAUGAUCCCUGCAACAUGCUGCUGUUGCUGGGAGUGGGAAAGAGGUGGCAUCGGCGGUUCAAGACUGAGUUUUCUAUCUCUUCAGUGCCUCUUUCAACAAUGAAGAUCAAACCAGGUUUUGUGCAAAUAUCUGCUGAGUGAACUACUUAUUUGAAAAUACAUCAUUGGUUAAUAUUCCCUUUUGCUCAUUGAAAUCUCAAAGACUACAGACCCCGCACAAGACAUUCUGACAUUCCCGUCUUUGAAAUGAAUGACAGCAAUGAUAAAUAUGGCUCACCUCCAGAGAUACAGAUCUCACAACUUCAUAUUUUUAAUAUAAAUUAUUAAUCUGAGGUGUGGUGCAAUUCCAUUAGAUGAAAGAGAUCUACACAUUCAGAAGCACAUGAUUCUUCCCCCUUCCAUGAUUCCAGUGGCCAAUAGGUAAUCAGAACUUCUCUGUUCAGCUAAAAGACAGAAAAAGAGCAUAUGAAAGACGUAUUUUCCCAGAAGUGCUCAUCCUGAUAACUGUGUACAGCACUACUGCUCAUAUUCCAUUGGCCAAUAUUUAGGUAGAUAACUUCACUAACUACAAGGUAUGCUGGGAAAUAAAGUCCAGAUAUGUGUGA
ensembl:lncRNA LINC01192 long intergenic non-protein coding RNA 1192